rnacentral:lncRNA from 1 species
UUGCACCCAUGGCUGCCAGCUCAAAUUAAGAUUUCUUCUGUUAACAGUAUCCAGUUAGUUGUUUUAAAACUACACAAAACUUUUUUUUCUUAGAUUUUUAUUCAUAAAUUAAAUGCUAGGAAAUUAAAAACUAACAAUAUAUAUUUACUGUAUAUGUGUUAUGUAGCAUCCAACUUCUUACCUUACCAGUGCUAGGCCACUGCUCUGACUAUAUAUUUACUGUAGCAAUGUGUUAUGUAGUCAGGGUACAAAGAGAACAACUUUUUCCGUGCCAUAAAUUCAAAAUAUAUCAGCUGAUAUUCAUGUGACAUUUUAAUCAAAGCCAAAAAAACAGUUGAACUUCCUAAUAUAGCAG